GCCCCGAUAGUCUAGUCCGGUCAAGGAUUCCGGCCUUUCGAGCCGGAGACCCGGGUUCAAAUCCCGGCCGGGGCA
rnacentral:tRNA from 1 species